UACGUAGGGGGCAAGCGUUGUCCGGAAUCAUUGGGCGUAAAGCGCGUGUAGGCGGCUCGGUAAGUCCGCUCUGAAAGUCCAAGGCUCAACCUUGGGAUGCGGGUGGAUACUGCCGGGCUCGAGUCCGGAAGAGGCGAGUGGAAUUCCUGGUGUAGCGGUGAAAUGCGCAGAUAUCAGGAGGAACACCGAUAGCGAAGGCAGCUCGCUGGGACGGUACUGACGCUGAGGUGCGAAAGCGUGGGGAGCGAACAGG
rnacentral:rRNA from 1 species